GACGUAGGGCGCGAGCGUUGUCCGGAUUUAUUGGGCGUAAGGAGCUCGUAGGCGGCUUGUUUGCGUCGACUGUGAAAACCCGCGGCUCAACCGUGUGGCUUGCAGUCGAUACGGGCAGGCUAGAAUUCGGUAGGGGAGACUGGAAUUCCUGGUGUAGCGGUGAAAUGCGCAGAUAUCAGGAGGGAAACACCCGGGUGGGCGAA
rnacentral:rRNA from 1 species